rnacentral:lncRNA from 1 species
AUUUGCUCCACCUUGGCCAAAGGGAAUGCUGAUGGCAAUGCAUUCUCUUUGUGAUGUUUUAUGUUAUUCUGUGAGAUUGUGCGUGUGUGUGUGUGCACAAACUUGAUAGGAAAAUUUGGUUAUUUUUAGUUCUAGGAAGUGUAAAUUAUAAAAAUGACUGUUUUGUUCUUUUUGAGACCGGGUCUCCCUCUGUCACCCAGGCUGGAAUGCAGUGGUGUGAUCUCGGCUCACUGCAAUCUCCGCCUCCCGGGCUCAAGUGAUUCUCCCACCUCUGCCCAUUCACAGGAAACUAUGCAAAUGAAUGCACAGUCUGUCACCAAAGAAAUGACAAGCAAGACAAGCACACAUCUGACUGGCCUGCUUUCGUUCACGUCAUCAUUAGUGAUAUUCUCGGUUGCAGUGGAUUAGAGUAUUAGAAAGAAAAAACCUAAAAGCACAGUCGCUUUUAAUAAAGCAUUAUUUACGUUUGGGAUUUGCUCUGUGGUAGCAAGAAUGACCAAAUCUCCAACAUGAUUGCCUUGCAAGAUACUUCUAUGUUCUACGGCAAGUUAUAACACCAUUUUGAAAUACAAUUUUGUGCAUCUAAGAAUAAGGAUUCCAGAUUCUUUCAUCCAUCUUGCAGCUCCUCACUUCAAGAGGAGGAAUCUAUUUUCCAGCUCCUUGCAUCUGGUCUUGCCUUGGAAUUUGCUGUCACUAAUAGAAGGUUGCUGAAGUUAUAUUGUAUAGACACUCGACCUUCAGUGGAGCACCUGCCUUUCCUUCUUGGAGUGCUUUGACCACCACGUAAAGCCACGUAGCUACCAAAUGAUGAGAAACCAUGCAGGAAGAUGGCUUAGCUAACAGCCAGCACCAAGGCCCAGGACGUCUGUGUGAAUCCAUUUUAAUCCUCUGGCCCCAGGCAAGCCACCUGAUCAAUGCAAACACAGGAGUAAACUCAGGCAAGACUAGCAGGAGAACAGCUUAUCUAACCCACAGAAUUAUUAAGAACAAUAAGUUGGCUUCUGAAGUCACAGAUCUUUGGGGGUGGAUUGUUAUACAGCAAUAGAUAACCGAUAUGACACAGUAAAAAAUACAGAUGCAGGUCAGUAACGUUGUCUGAUAACGUAUGCUAAAGAGGAUUUAAGAAUGCAUCGAAAGAACUUGAUGCCCUGGUUAGGAAGCUGAGAUGGUAUGAAAUCUUUACAAAGAGUUCAUGCCUGAAAUGUCUACAUCAGGCAUGAGCCACUGAGCCUGGCAUGUUAUAUGCCUCCGUAUGCACAAUGGAUAUUGCAAAUGCUUUUCAUUUUUGCUUAGUUUGUGAUACAUUAGGCAGGUGUGAAGAUGAUUUGUCAAACGAAUGACACGUAGCAACCAGAAAGCAAAGCUGACUGGUAAAAUCAGCGUGCAAAUACUGCUAACAUAGGAAUGUCUUCCAUGCUUGUGUAAGGCUGCUUGCCUCGCCGGGAGGUUGGACACACCCGCCUCUGCACCCGGCACCAGGCUCUGCACCUGGCACCUAGCUCUGCCGCAUGCUCCCCUGGAAGGCUCCAGCUGAUGCAAGGCUCCUGGCCGGCUCUCCCACUGGAAAACCCGCCCAACAACCCGCUAACCCAUAGAGGCCCGCCCCGUCUCAAUCCCGCUCCCCUGGAGUUAAUCAGAGCACCCCCUGUUGCUCGUUCCUUCUAGCCAUAAAAACCCCACGCCCCAGGAAGUUGGCAGGACUUCCCAAGUCCCUUUCCCCGGGACCAUGGAACCUCGCCAGGGAGCUGGAUAAAUUGGAUUUUCAUUUUCUUAUACUGGCCUCAGUUUCCUCAUUUUAAACUCGGCAAUAAACCUUACAGUUUGUAUAAGAGCAGUAGUAGAGGGGAAAAGCACCAAAGGAUUGGUGGCUUAUAGAACAGUUGUUGCCAAGAUGUAUUUAAUUCGUCAUCAUAGGAUGUAUAAGACAAGCACUAGCGAUUAUAAAGAUUCUAGCAUCUUCCCACCAGUAUUAGAUAAUGCCACACAAACUUCAAUUUUAUUAAAGCUUAAACUUUCAAUUGUAGGCUUUUCGGGAUUAUUUGUAGUGAUAGGGCACUCAGUUCUAGAACCUAGACAAGCUUAUGUGUGUUUGGAAUUUAAGGUCCCAGUGAAUUACAGCUAUAGAUUAAAGUGCCAGUAAAGAAAUGAAAACAAAGCUUAGACUCGAUACACGAAUUAGCAUAAAUCUCAUUGUUUUGAAAAUAUCAGAAAAUAUCUGACAAAAUGAUUCAUCAGGCACCUGGGAUUUUAAAAAUGAAACCACUUAACAUGUCUUAAUUUAAUAAUAUAUGUCUGAAAAUUAUUUCUCCACCACAAUGGCGGCCUGAAGUAAUGCUUACCGAUUAUCUCCACACUGAACACAUAAAUUAAGAAAUGUUUGUGGAUAUUAUUACUUAAUAAAUAUUGAAAUGUCAUUUUUCUUUCGAAUGCCUUUUUUUGCUUUCCCCGGAUGUGCUAACUUUUCUUCAAGUGGGCCACCAUCAAUUUGCUCAACUCCAUGGACACUUGAACCUAGGCAGGACUUAGUGACUCAUUUGAUUAAUAGAAUAUUUUGAAAGGUAUCUUCAGAACUUCUGAAGCUAGGU